GCAAACUGCGUGAACUACUAUGGCUCCGCUCCAGUACGCAGAUAAUGUCACUUGUCAACUGAGGAAUGACAAGGUUCAUAAACCUAGAAAGAAGAGCUUUCUUCUCAUAAAGGGCUGCAGCCUGCAGGGCAGCCAUUGUGACAGGCUGAGAAGCAGAGCCUCCAGCCAGAAGCCAGAAACAGACCCUUCCAGGGGCAGAAGAACAAGACAGGAAUUUAUGCUGAAUGAGGUAUUUGCUGCUCAGAAUUGGCAAAUAGAGGAAUAAACUCUGUUACCAAAUUCCUUAAUUUCAGGAGAACCCAUGAAAGGAGUAUCAUCCAAUCAGGUCAACUCUCUUUGGUUUCCUAAUGUCUAAACAUUUCACAAUUUAUGGAAUUAUGAAAGGAUCCAGCUCCCCAGAGGAUGUGAGCACAUCUGAACACAAUUAUGCACUGCAGCCAGACAACUGUUAGCUUUCUGGGGCAAAAGACACAGAGAAAGACCAGGAUAAUCCUUGUGCGUGCAGCUCAGAUUUGGCCCCUGUCGCCACACGCUGCCAAGCCUGUCACAUUCUGGCAAUAAGGAGCAAUGCUUGGAUGGGGACCAGGACCAUGCUGACAUCUGACCACCUCUGCAGUCUGGGCGAAUUCCAAGAAAUCCCUCAGAAGAAAGUGCCAUGCAGAAAUAUCCUGGCGGGGGAACUGCCCACACAGCUGUGCCAGUUAUUCACCCUCGCCAGAUUCUUCAUGCUCUUUCCCACUUCAAGGCCCUUGCAUUAGCUGUUCUCCCUGACCAUGCACUUGACUCUCAAGAACAUUUAGGUAAGUCAUGUCCUUACCUAAGCUUAGGGGCUUAAGCGAGGGACUUGGUGUCCUGGAAGUACUCCCUAGCUCGCCACUCUAUGUAGCACCCAGUCCAGAUCUUCAGCCUCCAUCCAUCCUUUGAGAAUGUUUUAUCCUCUGAUCCCUUGAGAUAUGGGCCCUUUCUGUGACCCACCAGCCUGUGCCAGAGCCCAGGGCCUUAAUUCUGGAGGAGACAUGAUGCUACCCUGGGAACAGGUCCUUCCGGGACACGAGGCAGCUGGAGAGCUCUGGGUGUGACAGAGGAAUACGGAAACAGGGAGAAGAAACAAAGAAACAGAGAAAUGAGGAAACGAGGAAGGAAAAGGGUGGCUCCUGGAGACAAAUGUUUCCUUCUCCACACUUCUGCUGAUGCUGAGGUGGCCUUUAAAGUGCCAGCAAGGAGGAGCCGGGAGGGGUUUGCACAUGUGUUGCUGGGCAUGGAUGGGGUGGUGUGUGUGCCAGGAUGGGAGCCUUCCUGGGCAGUCACUACUGGGUGGGGCGCUCCAGUCAAGACAUCAAGACAGACAGCUAAGGCUUUCUCCCAAACCAAAAGACUUGCAAACUUCCCUACAAGUUCUGAGUUUUCUUCUGAAGCUAACUUCUUGGAACUCAAUGGCAUGAAACCGUCAUGCAGUUAAAGCAUUUAAGGGCUGUAUAUGCCCUGGGGGCUGUCAAUGUCAUAGACACUGUCAUUUCUCUCUCCCUGCACAAAAAUAACUAAAAUGAUGAAUCCGGCUGGCUCUCCCCUCUCCCUCGCUAUCCUCCACCUUUUAUGCAGUCCUGCGGACAUUCUGAUCUGUUUCCUCCUCCCCAUCCUCCCCUUCCCUCCCAAGUAUACUCUCAGCUCUUCGUGGUCUCUCUCUCCCAACUGCAGCCUCCCCCAAGACUCCAUCUUCAGGCCUCCUUCCCUCACCAUCUCCAAGGCUGCGGCUCCAGGACACAAGCUGACCACCCUGCCCAACCCGAAGUCCUCGACUGAUGCUCAGCGCUUAUAGGUUCAAGUCCAGGCUCCCUAGCAUAGCACUGAAGUCAUGGCUCAGUUUACCCUUCCAAGCCUGUCUCCCCCAAGUCCUGCCCUCCUCCUCUCAUCACUGCCAAGUACAUCAAGCACUCCCACGUGGCUGGGCUUUAACCCAAGCUGCUCUCUCUUCCCAGAAGGCUCUUCUCUGACUUGCUGCCAAAACACAAAGUCGCUUGGAGGUGAAGGCAAAUAUUAGUUCAGCUGGCAAGCUCCUCUCCACGUCCUCAUCAAAGCCCCCAGCUCCAUGAGCUUCUGGGCUGUUCCUGUGGAUUUCUGCACUCUCUGUGUUGAAACAUCUGUAAUGGGUUAUAGCUGGGAGUUGGAAUGUCUGCCUCCCUUUUCGCUGAGAAGAAGGGGGUCUUUACAGGAUCGAACGCUCCCUGGGUUCUGUCUCCUUCCUUUCAAUAUAGUGAGCAGUUCCUCCCACCUAGUGGGUUCUCCUUAGAUGUCUGGGAGGUCAUCUAUCCAGUGCUGGCUGUUGCAGAUCUGUGCAGUUGCUUUUUGAACAGGACCCACAUCCGUCUUCCAAAAUAUCUAAAAUUAGGUCUUUGACAGUUCCUGAAAAUGUUAGUUAUCAUAUAAUCCAGCAACUCCACUCCAAGGUAUAUAGCCAAAAGAAUUGAAAUCAUAUUCCACACAAAAAUGUAUACCUGAAUGCUCAUAGCAGCAUUAUUCACAAUAGCCAAGAAAUGGAAACCACCCAAAUGUCCAUCAACCCACAAAGGCAUAAGUGAACUGUGAUAUACCCAUACGACAGAAUACCGUUUGGCUAUAAAAGGAGGGACCGAUUCGUGCUACAAUGCGGAUGGGCCUUGAAAACAUGCUAAGUGCAAGACGCCAGUUACAAAAGAUCACAUAUUAUGUGAUUUCAUUCAUGUGAAAUGUCCAGAAAUAGUCAAAUUUAUAGAGAAAGAAAGCAGAUUAGUGGUCGCCAGGAGCUGGGGCAAAGGAGGGCGUGAGCGUGAUUGUGAAUAGGUAUGGCUUUUUAGAGAGGAAAGGGGGUUGUGGUCAUGGUCGCACAGCAUGUGACUCAUGGAGUUUGUGCCCUUGAGAGGAGGGACUGCUGUGGCAUGUGAGUUACAUAUAAUUAGGCCUUCAGUGCUGCCAGCAUUCUCAUCCUUGGAGGGCCAGGUAUCUUUUCUGUUGUUUUGUUUUGUUUUGUUUUAUGAGAUGGAGUCUCACUGUCACCCAGGCUGGAGUGCAAUGGUGAGAUCUCCGCUCACUGCAAUCUCCAUCUCCCAGGUUCAUGCGAUUCUCCUGCCUCAGCCUCCCAAGUAGCUGGGACCACAGGCACCUGCCACCACGCCCAGCUAUUUUUUUUUUUUUUUUGGUAUUUUUAGUACAGACGGGGUUUCACCAUGUUGGCCAGGGUGGUCUCGAUUUCCCGACCUCGUGAUCUGCCCGCCUCAGCCUCCCAAAGUGCUGGGCUUACAGGCGUUAGCCACCGCGCCCCACCGUAUCUUUUCGGUUCUAAGCACAAGACAAUUGUCUUGGGAACACCUCCCGGCUCUUGGCCUCAGUAUGUUUUCUUUAGCCCUACGUUUCCCCUUUGCUCUCUCCCCGCGUGUGAUGGGGGCUGCCUGGGUGGGGCUGUCACAGCGGCAGGUGGGUGAGGAGCCCCUAGGCGCGUCCGGAGGAAGGCUCACCCGGAGGCCGCCUGCAGGCGGCCAGGUGCCAGCCACUGCGGGCCUCUGGGGCCGAAGCCGGCGGAUGGUGAGACGCUGGUUGGUCUGCAACACUGCCCAGACCCCGGGCACUCAUGUCUAGAAAAAAGCUGACUCGUGACACCAAAGGAGCUCUUUCAAGCUUCCUGCACGCUCUUAGCGCCAGAGCACCCCAGCCGUCCUGGGAGCCCCCGAAGCCAAGCAUAUUCGAACUCCGAAUCCGCUCGAUCGCCGGGGACCUGCCAUCUGGGUUCGGUUCCCCAAGGUCGCUGCCGACCUUAGACCGCGGGGGUGUGGGGCGCCGGGGAAGGAGACAGAAGGACAGGCGCCGCCCAGGGCCGCGGGGACACUUGGGGCUGCGUCCUGGGUGGGCGCGAUGCUCCCCCAGAACGACUGGAGAUGGAGAGUGUCGGGGAGGGAAACGGGACCCACGAAUUCAGGGCGCUGAGUCGGCGGAAUGCGCCCUGACUCCCCCUGGCCGAGAGCCGGCUCAGAAUGAAAGAGCGCGGAGUGGGAGGUCUGGGAAAUGGCAGUAUUUGUAUUAGGGAGAGAAGGAAACAGGAGUGGGAGCCGCACGGCUUGGGGAACGCGGGAGAUCGCGGAUUGCGGGGAUAGCGCAGCGCGGCUGCCCGGGGCUGCUGGGAGGGGCCGGACGAGGCCAGGGCGAGCGGGGUAACUGCGGCCGGCCGGACGGCGGCGGUAACCGGCUGCACCGAGGUGGUUCCACCACCGCGCUGGGCGCUUGCGGUUCGUCUGCUCCAACGAAAGCCGCGUCCCACGCUCCCUGCCGCCGCGUGGUUUUGCCUCCUCAGAGGGGCAGCGGCGACCCAGGGGCUGGCGGUGGAUGUCAGGAGUGCGCUUUCCUUCUAGGCCUUCUCCCUCAUGACUGGUUUUGUUUUUAGAUUACAAAAAUAACUUAUAUUAUUUAAUUAAAAAUACAUAAAAUAUAUUGUGAUAGCGCAGAAUAAUGGCCCUCCAAGAAUGUCCACGGCCUAAUGUCUAGAAACUGUUAUAUGGCAAAAUAAAUACAUAAAUAAGGUGGAAGGCCUUUGCAGAUGUGAUCAAGCUAAGGAUUUUUUUAUUUUUAUUUGAUAUUGAUUGAUUGAUUGAUUGAGACAGUCUUCCUCUGUCUCCCAGGCUGAAGUGCAGUGGCGCGAUCCCGGCUCACUGUAACCUCCGCCUCCUGGGUUCAAGCGAUUUUCCUGCCUCAGCCUCCCGAGUAGCUGGGAUUACAGGCUCCUGCCAUCACGCCUGGCUAAUUCUCGUAUUUUAGUAGAGACAGGGGUUUCACCAUGUUGACCAGGCUGAUCUCGAAUUCCUGACCUCAAGUGAUCCGUCUGCCUUGGCUUCCCAAAGUGCUGGGAUGACAGAUGUGAGCCACAGCGCCUGGCAAACUAAGGAUUUUUAGACCGGGGAUUACCCUGGAUUAUCCAGGUGGAUACAAUGUCCAGUGAUCACAGGGGUCCUAGAAGAGGGAGGCAGGGGAGGCAGAGGAGAAGUGAGGGCAGAAGGAGAGGUCAGAGGGAUGUGUUUGCUUCGAGGAUCAAAGAAGGGGAGCACCGGCCAAGGGAUGCGGGCAGCUUCUAGAAGGUGGGAAAGGCAAGGAUAUGGAUUCUCCCUGAGCCUCCAGAAGGAACCCAGUUCUGCAGACACUUUGAUGUUAGCCCAGUGUGACCCUAUGCAUACUUCUGACCUCCAGAACUGUGCAAGAAUAAUCUGUGUUGUUUUAGGCCCCUCAAUCUGUGGCGAUUUGUUAUAGGAGUCCUAGGAAAUACCUGAACACAAACAUUUAAAACAUAAAGAAGUCACCUGUAAUCCACUUCCCAGAAUGAACUCAUUCAGCAGCCUGAGGAGCAGGGCUGACUGAUGAAAACACUUGAAAGGAGGAAGUGCCGUCUUGCUAAGGCUGGUGUGUUCAGAAGAGGACACCGUGAAUGAUUCUCCUGACUAAGAUGGUCCACUAAAAGGAACCAGGGCUCCGUGGAGAAAUGGCGACUUCUGGGAUUAAGGCUGGAGAGGAAUAAGAUGAACCCAGAAUAUAUUAUUCUGGCAGACAGUGAGGAAGUACCCAGAGAAUGGUAGGAACUCAUCCAAAGGACAAAAGCUUGAAGGGGCUCUCAUUGGGCAAAUCUGGAAUCUUUUGAGUAACAAUCAUGUUAGUAUUGAAUUGUAACUCUUUUUUUUUUCUUUUUGUAGCUGGGAUUACAGAUGCCUGCCACUAUGCCUGGCUGAUUUUUGUAUUUUUAAUAGAGAUGGGGUUUUGCCAUGUCGGCCAGGCUGGUCUUGAACUCCUGGUCUCAAGUGAUUGGCUCACCUCGGCUUCCCAAAGUGCUGAGAUUACCGGUGUGAGCUACCACACCCGGCCUAUAACUCUUCUUACUUUAUUAUAAGCACAGUCUAAGAAUCCACUAGUACCUACAGGUACAGUAAUAUAAAUGAAAAAGUAAAGAGGGAGAAGAAAACUCUUUCUUAUCAACUAAUAAACGCAGAAAGAUAAUGGAAUAAGAAAAUACCGCUUGGAACUACCAUAGUAAUGAUUAUGUCAGGGAGAAUCAUCAGUGAAUGCUAAAUUGUGAGAAAAGUUUGAGAAACAGGAUUUGUAUAUGGUCUCAAACUAUCGCUGCACGAGGGAGAUUCCCAGUAAUGACCGAGGGGAAAACAGUCACUUUACUGUGGGGAAACCUGACAAACCUUAUUCAAGCGAUCAAAGUUAACAUCACCAGCAAUGGGACAAAUAGGCAACACGUGCCUCUGGUGUGCUGCAGCAGGCCUCCAUGAUGCAAUAGCCCUUCAUGGUGCUCGUGCUGGCCGUGCAGAACCUGCAUUCAAUUGUGAGGAAAUACCAACACAUCAAACAGAGGGACAUUUUCUAAAACACUGGCUUCUGCCCUACAAAAAUGUCAAUGUCAUUUUUGACAAAGACUGAGGAACUGUUUCUUACUGAAGAGGACUAAAGAGGCCUGACAACUAAGUGCAGUGUGGAUUCUGAAUAGUGGGCCAGAUGAAAAAUGUUUGUUUGUUUGUUGGUUUGUUUUAAUUAUAAAGGAAGUGAAUCAUACUAAGGCAUAGAUGAACCUUGAGGACACUGUGUGCGAUGAAAUAAUCCAGACACGCCAGGCGCGGUGGCUCGUGCCUGUAAUCACAGACAGCACUUUCGGAGGCUGAGGCAGGCAGAUUGCUUGAGCUCAGGAGUUCCAGACCAGUUUGGGAAACAUGGUGAAAUCCCACCUAUGCAAAAAUUAGCUGGGCAUGGUGUCCCAAGCUUGCAGUCCCAGCUACUUAGGGGAGGUGGAGGCCGCAGUGAGCUGUGAUCAGGCCUCUGCACUCCAGCCUGGGUGACAAAGAGAGACCCUUUCUCAAAAAAAAAAAAAAAGUCCAGGCACGGUGGCUCAUGCUUGUAAUCCCAGCACUUUGAUAGGCCGAGGCGGGUGGAUCGCCUGAGGUCAGGAGUUCUAGACCAGCCUGGCCAACAUGGUGAAACCCCGUCUCUACUAAAAAUAUAAAAAUUAGCCGGGAUUGGUGGUGGGCACCUGUAAUCUCAGCUACUUGGGAGGCUGAGGCAUGAGAAUCACUUGAACCCAGGAGACGGACGUUGCAGUGAGCCAAGAUCACACCACUGCACUCCAGCCUGGGCGACAAAGUGAGACUCUGUCUCAAAAAGAAAAACAAAACAAAACAAAAAGUAGAAAAAAAGAGAAAUAAUCCAGUCACAAAAUGACAAAUUAUCGUGUCAUUCCACUUAUAUGAAGUACCAAGAAUAGUCAAAUUUAUAGAGACAAAAAGUAGAUGGAGGGUUACCAGGAGCUUGGAGGAGGGGAAAUGGGGACUUCGUGUUUAAUGUGUUCAGAGUUUCCGUUUGGGGUAACGGGAGAUGGAUAAUUGUGAUGGCUGCAUAGCACUGUGAAUGUAAUCAAUGCCAUAAGUUGUACUUUUAAUGGUUAAAGUGGUAAAUCUUACACAUAUUUUACUAUAAUAAAAAUAAUUUCUGAAAAAAAGUCUUCAACUUUCAAAUAAAUGGGUAGACAAUUGACAACAUUUACAUAAGGUCUGUAGAUUAUAUAAUAAUGGUAUGUCAAGAUUAAUUUCCUCAUCCUGAUAAAUGUACUGUGGUUAUGUAAGAAAAUGUCAGCUGGUCCAAAGGUAGUGAGUUAUCUCAAUUGAUUGUUCCCAGACAGUUACAGAUCAAACUCCUUCUACUCUUUCCCCGCUUCUCACCACUGCACUUGACUAGUUUUAAGAUAAAUAAAAUGUCUGUGUGUGUG